rnacentral:lncRNA from 1 species
CCUGGCUCUGCUGUUGCAGCUGCUGCAGGGCCCCGAGGCGGGCCUCCUCCUGCUGCAGAAACGGGAAGACGUGGCAGUGGAAGCAGUCCGUGAUCUUGCGGAUCUUCUGUCCGAUCUGCUCACCCCAGUAGGAGAUGAGGAAGGUCAUCCACGUGGCUGGCUCGCCCGUCACGGGGUGCUCCAGCGGCUGCUCCAGCUCCCUGAAGCUGGCAAUGAGGAAGCCGCGGCAGGCCCUCCAGAGCAGGCGCUCUAGGGCAGGGGCCUUGUGGGGCUCCACGGCACCUGCCACAAAGUUGACCCUCAGGUCCUGGUGCGGCCCCCCGGGGGCCUGGAGCAGGGGCGUCCUCUCUGAGGCCCCAUCUGUGUGGGCGGCUGCCAGCUGAGGUUCAUGGCCCUGGCGUAGCACGGCGGCGUGGAGCUGCAGCUGGUGCAGCUGG